AUUGAACGCUGGCGGAAUGCUUUACACAUGCAAGUCGAACGGCAGCACGGACUUCGGUCUGGUGGCGAGUGGCGAACGGGUGAGUAAUACAUCGGAACGUGCCCAAUCGUGGGGGAUAACGUAGCGAAAGCUACGCUAAUACCGCAUACGAUCUAAGGAUGAAAGCGGGGGAUCGCAAGACCUCGCGCGAUUGGAGCGGCCGAUGGCCGAUUAGGUAGUUGGUAGGGUAAAGGCCUACCAAGCCGACGAUCUGUAGCUGGUCUGAGAGGAUGAUCAGCCACACUGGGACUGAGACACGGACCGGACUCCUACGGGAGGCAGCAGUGGGGAAUUUUGGACAAUGGACGCAAGUCUGAUCCAGCCAUUCCGCGUGCAGGAUGAAGGCCCUCGGGUUGUAAACUGCUUUUGUACAAAACGAAAAGGCUCUGGUUAAUACCUAGGGCUCAUGACGGUACUGUAAGAAUAAGCACCGGCUAACUACGUGCCAGCCGCCGCCGUAA
rnacentral:rRNA from 1 species